CUUCCAACUCCACAUAAUGUUGCAACUCCACUACAUUGGUAAUUUCCCUAUUCAACCCAUUCAAGAAUCGUGCCAUGGUAGCCUCCCGAACCUCCACCACAUUGGCCCUAGUCAUGAGUAUUUUCAUCUCCUUAUGAUAGUCCUCUACACUUUUCGACCCUUGAUAUAGACCUUGCAGUUUUUGAUGGAUCUCUCGGUAAUAGUGGCUAGGAACAAACCUCUUUCUCAUCAAUGACUUCAAUUCCUCCCAAGUGCUGAUUGGUCUUCCCCCACUCCUACGUUGUGAAGUAAUCACUUGAUCCCACCAUGAAAUUGCAUAGUCACUGAACUCCAAAACUGCUAACUACACCUUUUUCUCCUCCGAAUAGUUAUAACACUCGAAGAUCAUUUCAACCUUCCUUUCCCACUCCAGGUAUACCUCGGGAUCACUCCUUCCUUAAGGAACUGUCAUUUUUAUAUUUCCCAAGUUUCCAUUUAACUCCUCCCCGCGAUCAUUUCGACCCCGUUUGUCAAACAUAUCGCCUCUAUUCCUCAUCCUUCCCAUCUCAACACCGUGAAAUUCAUCUUCGCCCAUGUCACUCCCAUAUCCAUACUCCUCUCGCCUUUCCCUCCUAGGCUCUCAUCUAUCCGGUCCUCUGGUAUUGGAUACAUCCACUCGAUGCCCCCAACUAAGAUUAGCCACCGAUGUAUCUAAUCUAUUCAUCCAAGUCUCCUGCUUCUCCAACCUAUCUCUCACAUCUCCAAACGCCCUCUCAAACCUUUGCACUAAAUCCUCCGAUGCAUUACUAUUAUUGCCUUGUCGGCUUGAGUUUGAUUCUGUCCUUUCUGACAUCCUAACACUAAAAUUUUAUUUUACUGCCUCACCAAAAGUCACUCGUAAUGCACACAAGGGCUUUUACCCUCUAUUAAGCUCACCUCUCUACCUUUUACCACUCAGUUCUUUCAACAAUUGCUUCUAGGAACAAUCAAUGAACUCAAUCAAUCAAUCAAUUCCUGUAGAAUUUCCCAAACCGGAUGUGACUCAAUAAUUGUAACAAAGGACUCAAAGAAAACUUUCAAAGCUUGACUUGAAUUGAAGGAAUGAAAUGAUUUAAUGUAUCCAAGUAAGUUAGAAACGAUAUUGAAUAAUAAAAGUUGGUAUUUGACGGAUCAAUAAUAUUUAACAAGUUUUUUUUAACUAUAUGGAUGAACAGUACCGUACUGAUGAACAGUAAUUUUUUUUUUAGAUCCGAAAAUCAAUAAUAAAACCAACAAAGAAAACGAAAACUGAUUUGGGCGAAAAUUGAGCCCAGAAACAAAAUUUGAAGAUUUUGAUGAAACUUUUGGAUCAAAGAAUCAAAAAAAAACCUUCUGGACACAAGAACACAAGGAAUUGAAAAAAAAAUUAGAAAACAAAGGAUAUAACCUGAUUAAAUUGGAGCCAAAGCUCUGAUACCAACUUAUGCGAACCCCGUAGCAAUGGAAACUACGAAACCCACAACGAGAUUGAUGCUGAAACCAAGAACGCCAAUACUAACCCGGUUUUG
rnacentral:lncRNA from 1 species